GAAUUCAACUCCUACGGGAGGCAGCAGUGGGGAAUUUUGGACAGUGGGCGCAAGCCUGAUCCAGCCAUUCCGCGUGCAGGAUGAAGGCCUUCGGGUUGUAAACUGCUUUUGUACGGAACGAAAAGGCUUUCUCUAAUACAGAGAGCUCAUGACGGUACCGUAAGAAUAAGCACCGGCUAACUACGUGCCAGCAGCCGCGGUAAUACGUAGGGUGCAAGCGUUAAUCGGAAUUACUGGGCGUAAAGCGUGCGCAGGCGGUGAUGUAAGACAGAUGUGAAAUCCCCGGGCUCAACCUGGGAACUGCAUUUGUGACUGCAUCGCUGGAGUGCGGCAGAGGGGGAUGGAAUUCCGCGUGUAGCAGUGAAAUGCGUAGAUAUGCGGAGGAACACCGAUGGCGAAGGCAAUCCCCUGGGCCUGCACUGACGCUCAUGCACGAAAGCGUGGGGAGCAAACAGGAUUAGAAACCCUUGUAGUCCAGGCGUU
rnacentral:rRNA from 1 species